CUCAGUUUAUCACUACCGUAAGCUAGCCUUAACCCUUCGAAAGCAAUUCGAAACGGCAACACACCCUCCACGAUCGCAGCUCUCCUCCACGUAUGACCACAGCUCUUGAUCGCAGUACUCUCCUCCAUGUACGGCGACUUCCCGGUGCUCUCCUCUACGGGCGACGGCGCGUGCUCCCUUCCACGGGCGUCGGCGCAGUGCUCUCCUCCACGGGCGUCGGCGCGGUGAUCUUCUCCACGGACGCAGCUCCAUGGCGACGGCGCGGUGCGCUCCUCGUUUUGUGCCGAACCACCACCAUCGAGAAACCCCUCUCCCUUCUCUUCUCCAUCUUCCUCUUCUUCCCCUGUCUCGCCUCCUCCUCUUCGCGAGCUCUGACAACGCUACACGAGUUGUAACCUUCCUCCUCCUCCUCUGCGUAUUGGCAAGACAUGUCUGAACUUUACUAUAGGAAUGGAAUUUCUGAAUGCAUUGAUUUUGAAUUUUAGUAUGGGAAUAUUCUGAAUUUUAGUAUGGAAAUGGAAUUUCUGAAUGCUUUGAUUUUGAAUUUUAGUAUGGAAAUGUUCUAAAUUUUAGUAUGGGAAUGAAAUUUCUGAAUGCAUUGAUUCUGAAUUUUACUAUGGGAAUGAAAUUUCUGAAUGCAUUGAUUCUAAAUUUUUGGGGCUUUUUGAUAGUUCUGAUUUUGGGGGGUUUUAUUUCAAUUUUUCUGAAUUUUUAUGGUUUUGAUUGUUGCUUCUUAAGGUUUUCUUUUUUAUUUUGCAUUUUGAUUAUGAUUUUGCGUCAUUUUUUAUAAGCAUACAUUCGACAAGAUUUCUUUCAUUGCUUAAUGCCUCUGAAUAUAAAAUAAUCAUUUCUAGGGUUUUUACUUCCUGUUUUGAGGCGACUCUAACGGAGAAGGAGAAGAAAAACCUUCUUUGUGUUCUUUCUUUAAUUUUCAGCUUUAACUGAAUUUUACGUUUUACUUGAGCUUUUCACUCCUUCUUUGUUGUUGCUUUUCAAUUUCGGUGGCAAUUUGUGGUUCUGUUGACUUUUUUAUUCAUGUGAUGAAUUUCAGUAGCAAUUUGCAUAAUAUUGUUGAUAAUUUAGAAUUGCAUAAAGGGUUUGAACUGUAAUUAUAAAUUCAACCAAAAAAUACACUCUUAAUGGAUGUUUGGAUAACAAUUCCAACUGUGCUGAGUUUAACUACACUCUUAUAUUUGCAAUGAUUUUGAAGGUAGCAGGGUGGCAAGAAGUUGCUGUCCAUGGCCCAAUUCAAGACCGAACUCAAAUCCAAGCCCCAAUCCUUUGAGAAGAAGGCUUGAACCCUAGGGAGAUGCUUAUGUAAUAUGUGGUGGAGCUUGGGAAUUCUGGCCGCUAGAGCCUUAUGGCUUGCCUCAAUUUUGACUAUGAGUAUUUUUAUGGGGUGCUAAACCUUCUGAGGUAUUCUAAUGUUUUUGUUAUAGUAUCUUUCAAAAUACUGAUCAUGGUUAUUUACAUAAAAAAGAAAAUAUUAUUUUCAUUCUUUUGUUUUAGUGUUGAAGUUCAAAUUUGAGUUAAAUUAUUAUUGUUCUUUUUACAUGGUACGGAAGCUGUCUCAAUUUUCUCUUCCAACUCAUGAUGUUAUUGUCAGGGGUGUUAUUCUUGUAGAAUUCGAUGUAUGUGCAAGUUUUGCAUAAGACUUGUGUAACUGUUUUGAAUUGUAAGCUAAUUUUUUAGAAGAGUUUAUUAGUCAUGGCAUGGUGAUUAAUUGGCAUGUUCAUUGAUUUCAACUAGCCAUAGGUUUGUUGCUAGUUAUUUACAAAUAAAUUGUUUGGAUUUAGAAAAUCUAUUUUAUAAUUUGAAUGCUAAAUGGAUGGUUAAGUCUCAUUUUUUUCUUUUUUUUUUAAAUUUAAAAAAGUAUUGUAAAAUCUCGAAUUAUAAUAUAUUAAAACUCUUAAAAAAUUUACUUGCAGAUAAAUACAAUUGCACGAGGGUCACCAUAUUACAUUGAAAAAAAAAUAACUUAUAUAGGAAGAUGCUAUUUCUGACCUUUCUCUGAAUGGUUGGACUACAAACAUGGAGAGCAUUAUGAAGUAUAGGCCUUGAGAGAUAAAGGCAUGACUGGCUACAUAUUUAGUAACAAUAAUAUGGAGAUAACCCUGACAUAUAUCGGCAUUAUGGAAGAAUUGACGAAGAGAAUGGAAGUUGAUGAAAUUAGGCAUUUAUUUUAUUUAUUUAUUUUUUUUUGUUGAAGUUCAUGAGAAAACAUGUGUUUUUUUUUUUAGUUUAGUUAUGUGUAUUUUUAUUUGAAUUGGCAACUGUAAGUAUAUGUAUUUAAAAUUUAUUUAGUUGAAUUUGGAACAA